ACCUUAUGCUGAUCCAUUCGACUGUCUUCUGGGAACCUUUCAUAGACUGAACAACUUGAGAAUUGACUCUCAAAACUGUCAGGAUGUAGAAAAGCUGUUAAAAAAAUUGUUGCACAUCCUGUCAGAAAAAAAGAUUACAAUUCAGAAAGAAGAUUGGAGAUGCUCUGCUUCUGCCUGUCUAAAAGUUCAUGAGAUAUGCAGCAAUCAGAUUCAAGAAAUAUCACAAUACAAGUUAUUAGCUACAGCAGUUGAGAUUGUUUCAACAAUUCUUGCACUCGUACCAUCAGAGGUUUCCGAGUUUGCCAUAGUAUUCAACAGUGUUUAUAAAACUACUAGCAAUUGGUUUUAUAAUUCUCUUCCGAAAUCUCUGCUGGAAAAAGGACGAAUUGUGUUUUCUUCGAAAAAGGAACUUGAGGCAUGGGAUCACUUUUUGAAAAUAAAGUUUCCUAAUAGCAGUACUUCGGAAUAUUGGAAAGAAUCUUUGAUUUCAAUUUUGAAAAUGAGAAUUA